rnacentral:tRNA from 13 species
GGGCGGUUAGCUCAGUUGGUAGAGCGUCUGCCUUACAAGCAGAGGGUCAGCGGUUCGAAUCCGUUACCGCCCACCA